AGACUACGUACGUGUUGUCGUCUCCUCUCACCUUAACCAGACUACGUACGUGAUGUGUCGUCUCCUCUCACCUUAACAACCAGACUACCUACGUGUUGUUGUCUCCUCUCACCAUAACAACCAGACUACGUACGUGUUGUCGUCUCCUCUCACCUUAACAACCAGACUACGUACGUGUUGUCUCCUCUCACCUUAACAACCAGACUACGUACGUGUUGUUGUCUCCUCUCACCUUAACCAGACUACGUACGUGUUGUUGUCUCCUCUCACCUUAACAACCAGACUACGUACGUGUUGUCGUCUCCUCUCACCUUAACAACCAAACCACCCAUUACGUUGCCUUAACCUUGAUAGAUUCUUGCACUACGUUGUAAAUGCCUUGCAUGGCUUAUAUAGGAACCUCGACUGAGAAUGGGUUAUGGAAGGGAAAUAUUCACUCAGUGUGGAUUUAAAAAUAAAACAAAAUAAUACAAAAUAGCUGAGUCUGUUUUAGUACAAACCAGUUCAGAAGUAGUGUGUGUUGCAGGUACACAAAGUAAAAGCAGUGAUCUGAAAUAUCCUCGUCUUCACUCUGGAUACUGUGACCGCUUAGCAACGACUAUCCUAGAAAUUAAGAAUACAGUUUUAACAUAACAGAGUUAUGAACCAAUCAUAGAUGACUAAGCAAUACGUUUUUUUUAUUUUUGUUUUCUUCUUCCUCCUUCCUGAUACCACCAAUUUUUAUUCACAGCUUUAAAAUAACUGUAGUUUUGGGAGAGAAAACAGUUGUAAAUGAUUGCAGUAUGUUAUGCUCAACCUUAGUUGUAAAUUGCACUCCUGUAAAAUGUUAUUGAAAUUGCACUCCAGGUUGUGUAUGAUAAAUGAUGUUUAAAGCCAAUACGUGACCAUGAAUUGUGUCGCUUUGCGUGGAUACAUAGCCAAUAGUGUGUACAGGGGGUGUGUUUGUGUUCUACAACUCUAAAACACUAUAGUGUUGAUAUUAGCCAUAUCCUGCAUGAAAAUAUAUUUAUGAAACUUUUAAAUGAAGAAUAUCGGAAGUCUGAAAGUGCAAUUAAAGCUUCGUUCUUACAGCCGCGUUAUGAGUUUGGAAUCCUUGACUUAUUAUGCCAAUAAAACAACACACGCCAUCUUUAGAUUGAAAGAAACAUACACUGAGUGGACAAAAUAUUAAGAACACCUGCUAUUUCUGUGAGAUUGACCAGGUGACUGCUAUGAUCCCUGAUUUGAUUGUCACCUGUUAAAACCACUUUAAAUCAGUGUAGAUGAAGGGGAAGAGACGGGUUAAAGAAGGAUUUUUUUUCUAAAGCCUUGAGACAGGGAUUGUGUAUGUGUCUUGGAACUGGGCACCGGUUUGUGUCAAGAACUGCAAUGCUGCUGUUUUUUUCUCUCACACUCUCACACUAAACAGUUUCCCGUGUGUAUCAAGAAUGGCCUACCACCCAAAGGACCUCCAGCCAACUUUAAAGAAUUGUGGGAAGCAUUGUUGUCAACGUGAGCCAGCGUCCCUGUGGAACGCACUGAGCCGAAGCCCUGUCGGAAGUAGCCUACAAAAUCAUGUCACAUGUAAAAGCCUACCGGUACAAAUGUAAGAAGAUGCACGUGGCCUUUUCCCAGCAACUUCGAGGAACAACGACUUUCUGCAACCACCGGUCAUCAGCUCUGACGUACCUUCUACAACAGGCCAGUAUCAUCAACAUGACAACCACACCCCCAACCACCGGUCAUCAGCUCUGACGUACCUUCUACAACAGGCCUGUAUCAUCAACAUGACAACCACACCCCCAACCACCGGUCAUCAGCUCUGACGUACCUUCUACAACAGGCCAGUAUCAUCAACAUGACAACCACACCCCCAACCACAAAUCAGUUCUGACGUACCUUCUACAACAGGCCAGUAUUAUCAAAGCUGACCACGACCGCGACUCCAUUUUGCUGAUCCCUGCCUACAGACAGAAACUAAAACAAGAAGCUCCCACACUGAGGUCUGUCCAACGCUGGUCCGACCAAGCUGAUUCCACACUCCAAGACUGCUUCCAUCACGUGGACUGGGAUAUAUUUCGUAUUGCGUCAGAUAACAACAUUGACGAAUACGCUGAUUCGGUGUGCGAGUUCAUUAGAACGUGCGUUGAAGAUGUCGUUCCCAUAGCAACGAUUAAAACAUUCCCUAACCAGAAACCGUGGAUUGAUGGCAGCAUUCGCAUGAAACUGAAAGCGCAAACCACUGCUUUUAAUCAGGGCAAGGUGACCGGAAACAUGACCGAAUACAAACAGUGUAGCUAUUCCCUCCGCAAGGCAAUCAAACAAGCAAAGCGUCAGUAUAGAGACAAAGUAGAAUCUCAAUUCAACGGCUCAGACACAAGAGGUAUGUGGCAGGGUCAACAGUCAAUCACGGACUUCAAGAAGAAAACCAGCCCAGUCACGGACCAGGAUGUCUUGCUCCCAGGCAGACUAAAUAACUUUUUUGCCCGCUUUGAGGACAAUACAGUGCCACUGACACGGCCUGCAACGAAAACAUGCGGACUCUCUGGGUCUCGACCCCGCCCUGUGCAACUGGGUACUGGACUUCCUGACGGGCCACCCCCAGGUGGUGAGGGUAGGCAACAACAUCUCCACCCCGCUGAUCCUCAACACUGGGGCCCCACAAGGGUGCAUUCUGAGCCGUCUCCUGUACUCCCUGUUCACCCACGACUGCGUGGCCACGCACGCCUCCAACUCAAUCAUCAAGUUUGCGGACGACACGACAGUGGUAGGCUUGAUUACCAACAACGACGAGACGGCCUACAGGGAGGAGGUGAGGGCCCUCGGAGUGUGGUGUCAGGAAAAUAACCUCACACUCAACGUCAACAAAACUAAGGAGAUGAUUGUGGACUUCAGGAAACAGCAGAGGGAACACCCCCCUAUCCACAUCGAUGGAACAGUAGUGGAGAGGGUAGUAAGUUUUAAGUUCCUCGGCAUACACAUCACAGACAAACUGAAUUGGUCCACUCACACAGACAGCAUCGGGAAGAAGGCGCAGCAGCGCCUCUUCAACCUCAGGAGGCUGAAGAAAUUCGGCUUGUCACCAAAAGCACUCACAAACUUCUACAGAUGCACAAUCGAGAGCAUCCUGGCGGGCUGUAUCACCGCCUGGUACGGCAACUGCUCCGCCCACAACCGUAAGGCUCUCCAGAGGGUAGUGAGGUCUGCACAACGCAUCACCGGGGGCAAACUACCUGCCCUCUAGGACACCUACACCACCCGAUGUUACAGGAAGGCCAUAAAGAUCAUCAAGGACAUCAACCACCCG
ensembl:lncRNA